rnacentral:rRNA from 1 species
AAUCAACGCUGGCGGCGUGCCUCAGACAUGCAAGUCGAACGAUUAAAGCUCUCUUCGGAGAGUGUAUAGAGUGGCGCACGGGUGAGUAACACGUAAGUAAUCUACCCUCGAGUGGGGAAUAACAACCGGAAACGGUUGCUAAUACCGCAUAAUGCAGCGGCACCGCAAGGUGACAGUUGUUAAAGAUUUAUCGCUUGAGGAGGAGCUUGCGGCAGAUUAGCUAGUUGGUAGGGUAACGGCUUACCAAGGCUACGAUCUGUAACCGGUCUAAGAGGACGGUCGGUCACACUGACACUGAAUAACGGGUCAGACUCCUACGGGAGGCAGCAGUCGGGAAUUUUGGGCAAUGGGCGAAAGCCUGACCCAGCAACGCCGCGUGAAGGAUGAAGUAUUCGGUAUGUAAACUUCGAAAGAAUAGGAAGAAUUAAUGACGGUACUAUUUAUAAGGUCCGGCUAACUACGUG